rnacentral:sRNA from 1 species
CACACACCUGGGGAAUUGCUGGCCUGACCUCUGACCCCUGACUCCUCAUACCCUUCCUCCAGAGCAUGACAUUUGACCACCAACUGAAACCUGACCUCUGACCCCAGACCACUGGCCCUUCCCCCGCCCUGUGGUGACUUCAUAAAGGUUACUAGCUUCUCCCUUGGCCUUGAGACCCACACGAUGGCCCUGCUGGCCCUGGCCAGUGCCGUCCCGUCUGCCCUGCUGGCCCUGGCUGUCUUCAGGGUGCCCGCCUGGGCCUGUCUCCUCUGCUUCACAACCUACUCUGAGCGCCUCCGCAUCUGCCAGAUGUUUGUUGGGAUGCGGAGCCCCAAGCUUGAAGAGUGUGAGGAGGCCUUCACGGCCGCCUUCCAGGGCCUCUCUGACACCGAAAUCAGUGAGGAGACUAUCCACACUUCAUCAGUGUCCUGGGGAAGGUGCAGAGGGAGGGCAGGAGAGGCCCAGAGGGUCAGGCUGAGGGACAGACAGAGAGAAACAGUCAGAGGAGAAAGGCUGAAAGACCAUGAGAACAACAGAGACUUAGGGACAGAGAGACACAGACAGGGGAAGACAGCAGGGCAAAGACUCAGAGAGGGGAGGAUGGAGAGUCAGAGAGGGGAAGAUGGAGACUCAGAGAGAGGGGAGGAUGGAGACUCAGAGAGAGGGGAAGAUGGAGACUCGGAAAGAUGGAGACUCAGGAGUAUGGAGAGUCAGAGAGGGGAAGAUGGAGACUCAGAGAGAGGGGAGGAUGGAGACUCAGAGGGAAAGAUGGAGACUCAGAGGGAAAGAUGGAGACUCAGGAGUAUGGGGAGUCAGAGAGGGGAGGAUGGACACUCAGGGGAGGAUGGAGAGUCAGGAGGAUGGAGACUCAUAGAAAGGGGAGGAGGGAGAGUCAGGAGAGGUUGGAGACUGGAGAGGGAAUAGAGACCCAGAGAGGGGAGGAUGGAGACUCAGAGGGGGAAGACGGAGACUCAAAGAGGAUGGAAACCCAGAGAGGGGAGGAUAGAGAUGAGGCAGAGACUAGGGGAAGCAGGAUAGCGACUGGUCAGGGGCAGAGACUCAGGGAGGAUAGAGACUCACAGAGAGGUGAGGAUAGAGACUUGGGAGGGACUCAGGAAGCAUAGCGACUGUGGGGCAGAGAGUCAGAGAGGGGAGGAUACAGACUUGGGAGGGCAGAGACUCAGAAACAGAAUGUUCCCAUUAGGAACAUGGUGUUGCGGGGAGCUGCCUCCCCCAGCCCCUGCUCCCUCCCUCACCGCCAGACUAUGAUGAGAGAAGCCACCUGCAUGACACCUUCACCCAGAUGACCCAUGCCCUGCAGGAGCUGGCUGCUGCCCAGGGAUCCUUUGAGGUUGCCUUCCCUGAUGCCGCGGAGAAAAUGAAGAAGGUCAUUACACAGCUUAAAGAAGCCCAGGCUUGCAUCCCUCCCUGCGGUCUCCAGGAGUUCGCCCGGCGUUUCCUCUGCAGCGGGUGCUACUCUAGGGUCUGCGACCUCCCGCUGGACUGCCCAGUUCAGGAUGUGACAGUGACUCGGGGCGACCAGGCUAUGUUUUCUUGCAUCGUAAACUUCCAGCUGCCAAAGGAGGAGAUCACCUAUUCCUGGAAGUUCGCAGGAGGAGCUCCGGACUCAGGACUUGUCCUAUUUCCGAGAUAUGCCGCGGGCCGAAGGAUACCUGGCGCGGAUCCGGCCGGCUCAGCUCACGCACCGCGGGACGUUCUCCUGCGUGAUCAAGCAAGACCAGCGCCCCCUGGCCCGGCUCUACUUCUUUCUUAACGUGACGGGACCGCCCCCGCGGGCGGAGACAGAGUUGCAGGCCUCGUUCCGGGAAGUGCUGCGCUGGGCGCCGCGGGAUGCCGAGCUGAUCGAGCCCUGGAGGCCCAGCCUGGGCGAGCUGCUGGCCAGGCCCGAGGCUCUGACGCCCAGCAACCUGUUCCUGAUUGCAGUCCUCGGGGCCCUCGCAUCAGCGAGUGCGACAGUGUUGGCGUGGAUGUUCUUUCGAUGGUACUGCAGUGGCAACUAACAAAGGUAUCUCUUUCCUCCUUCCCUAUCCUAUUUCCAUCCUGAAAAUAAAGAAUAUAUUUCAACUCUA